GGGUUUAAUGAUAAUUAGGCAAAGACUCAGCUUAUGCUAAAGGUUCGUACAGUUUAUUCACGAGAAAGUCCACAAUACAAAGACAUGCCAUUUUAUAACUCACUCCCUACUUACGCGCAUUCCUCCACACAAACAGUAGAUAGCCUACGCACAUACAUACACACGAACAGUAGGUAAAAUGUAUCCUUCCCCAUGGUUCUCACCACUGUUCAUCAUUACCAAACUGGCAGUUCCAUCCCCCCGAGAUUAGAGGAACCUUGAAAGGACUCCCUGUCCUAUCGUAAGUUUCUCAGAGUUCUAGCCAGGUCAAGUCAUACACAGUUUAAUUGUUCUCGGUAUCUUCUUAGUCACACACACACACACAUUUCUCUCCCUCACAUGUCUCUACCGAACCUUAUUGGACUUACAUUUAGUACUUUACGUUCAUUAUACAUGCUACAUAAACUAGUAAUCACUAAUAGUUACGUUUCAGGGUGGAAUUCUUUAAUAAUUACCUUUAAGCAUAUAAAUUGCCUUAUCAGUUAGCUAGUUUGCUAGUUUAGCUGGAUAAUUGUAGCUAGCGCUCUCUUAGCUCUCAGGAUAAUCCUCCAUGGACAUGGAAUCUUCUAACUUGGAUGGACGAGGGAAAAAAGGGAAGGAGUAGAGAAGUUAUCCAGCCUGCUGACUAAGAAAUGGAAAUAGCCUAUGCUUUGCUGUCUAUCUCUCUCUAUCUCUCUCCGUCUGUCUGCCUGCCUGCCUAACUGACAUAUUGCUGAAGGGCAACAUAGUCAAUGUACUUGCUAGGCCAAGCCUAACUUAGUGAAGACCUUGAUUUGUCUCUGUCUUUACAGUUCCUGAAACAUGUCAAUGGCCUGAUGCAUGGCCUCUACAGAGGUGGUUGGCCACCCACUCAGUUACCAGUGACCUAUUCUGCCACAUCCCAGGGAAUUGAGAGCGCAGGACCACCCCUUCUUAAAUCCAUAGUAAUUGACACAGAGGGUUCUACCUGGAACCCAAAACGGUUCAAACUGGAACCAAAAAGGCUUUGCCUAUGAGGACAGCUGAACAACCUUUUGGACCCUUGUUUCUAAGAGUGUAGUGUGCAAAAGCCUUGUGUCCUGAUUCAACAGACACCUCCCCUGGUGAGUCAUGUAAAGUUUCCUGAUUCAACAAAACCUCCCCUGGUGAGUCAUGUAAAGUUUCCUGAUUGAACAAACACCUCCCCUGGUGAGUCAUGUAAAGUUUCUCCCAUUUCUCUCUUGCUCAUUCUCUCUUUCGCUCCCUCAAACUCACACACAUGCAGAAGUAGAGAAGAGGAAGAGAUAUACCAAUUACAUCAAUUUCUAACACUGUUUGUUGCAGGAAUUAUAUGACAGACGCAUAACCUUUUGAACAAUAUAAUAUUUUACUGUCGCUUUAUUGCCUCUUUACACAUACUUACAUUUUUGCAUUUAACUUUGUUUUUUAAGACUGCCACGCUGUCCUAUAUUGGGGAACCUUGUCCAGGACAAUGACCUCAGGAUUAUGGAGCUGUGUGUUUAUAAAAAAGUUUGAAUAUUACAACAUGUAUUAGGAUUAAGAUAAACUUGACCAUUUAGAGAGGAGUUCAACAUUUUCAUUAUUGAACUACUGUCUAAUUUUAAUAACCUCUUUCUUAAAAUAUUUCUGAUUGAUGACCAAUGGAUUAAUGUCCCACUUCAAAAUGAAGGGACAGAAGAGCAAACAUGCCUUUGCUACCACUUUUAGUAGAUUCUCACUGUUACAAAUCUUUUACUGUGUGUUACUGUUAUGUUCUGCAUGCCCACAUAAUGCAAAUCAUAAAAAAGUAAUAUUUUUAUGCUUACAGUAAGUGUCAUGAAAACUCAGGAGGUUGAUGUGUUAUGGGCCUUCUGGAAAGUCCUAAAAUAUGCCCCUGAGCCGUGUUGGGGAAUGACGCAAAGUAUUUUUUUAAAUACAUCUCUAAGCUAUAACUGCCACAGCAUUAUUCAACUAGUACCAUGGAAAUACUUUUAACUGGCUGAGUACAACGUUUCUUCAAGAGUGUCCUUUUCUAGUUUGCUUAUAAAAUAUUAACUUGAUAAAAUUGUAAUGUGCUGAUUGUCUUCACUUCAUCUGAUCCAUCACACCACUCUUCAAGAGGACCACUCUGCUCCAGAUCUGACCCAUCACACCACUCUUCAAGAGGACCACUCUGCUCCAGAUCUGACCCAUCACACCACUCUUCAAGAGGACCACUCUGCUCCAGAUCUGACCCAUCACACCACUCUUCAAGAGGACCACUAUGCUCCAGAUCU